GCGUAUUUCGAAAUGAUUAUAAAUUUUUUCAGAAAAUAAAUUAAAAAAUUACAAACAAACAAAUGAGAAAUUUGAACAUUGUCCAGAAGGAUAAGUAUACAGAGAAUUAAACAAUGCAGGGUUCAGUUUCACAGGACAAACUGGUGCUGUUCGAUUCGUUAGAGGAUGAUGAACCUGUUCUUGAAGGAAAUAUAUCCGUUCCAGGAACAGCAGGAGAACCUAAUGGAGCAGGAGACCUAGAAUUUAAUACAUUAGAUGAACCUAUUAGUCAAACAAUCAGGCGAGAUUUAUCUGCCGUAGGAUCCAAGUUUUUCCACGUUUUAUAUCCAGUUGAGAAGAAAAGUUUAUUAAAAGAAUGGGAUCUCUGGGGGCCUCUCAUCCUUUGUACCUUCAUGGCGACAGUGCUACAGGGGCAUGAUACUGAUGGAGGGGGAGGCGGGGAUGGUGGACCUGAAUUUGCAGAGGUGUUUGUGAUAGUGUGGGUUGGAUCUCUGAUAGUAACUUUAAACACUAAGCUGGUUGGAGGGAAUAUUUCAUUCUUCCAGAGUGUUUGCGUACUUGGAUACUGUUUGUUACCGCUGGCGAUAUCGCUGUUUGUUUGCCGGAUAGUUCUGUUGAUAUCAGACGGAACUGCAGUUUUAAUUGUUCGCUCCAUCGCCGUUCUCUUAGGAUUUAUUUGGUCAACCUAUGCUUCUAUGAAGUUCCUAGGAGAUUGCAGUCCAACAAACAAAAAGUUGAUGUCAAUGUAUCCGAUGCUGUUGUUCUACAUUGUUAUUGCUUGGAUGGUGAUAUCACAUUCAAACUAAGCUAACAACAUCAUAACAACAUCAGGACAACAACAAAAUUGGCAAAAUAUCAACCGCAUUUUUACCCACCGCAAACUGUUGCUAUCACCUCAAAAUUUGUUUAUUACUUUUUUGAAUACUUGAUUUUUGCCAAAUAUCUUCCAAUAAAAUCCAAUCCCGGAAGAUGUUUAUUUUCCUACUUUUCUAUGAUAUUAGGGGCGUUUUCAAGUUUGUUUGUGAUUUGUCAGUGUACUGCACGUUGUGAUAAUUAUUACCUGUUUUGUAAAUAAAGAAUACUAUUUUCAGUU